rnacentral:misc_RNA from 1 species
AGCUAGAGGGAUGCUGAGGAUUUGGGUGCUCCUUGCUUGCAUUUGGGUAUUCAAUCCAAGCUCUGUCAAUGGGAAUACAAACCCAAAUGAUGUUACUGCACUGAAUGGCUUGUAUACCAGUCUGAGCUCACCGGGCCAGCUAAAUGGUUGGACAGCCAGCGGCGGAGAUCCCUGCGGGCAGUCGUGGAGAGGCGUAAUUUGCUCCGACUCGUCGGUGACGGCGAUUAAAUUGUCGGGGAUGGGGCUUUCCGGGACUUUAGGCUAUCAGCUGAAUAGCCUGAGUUCGAUACUCGAGAUUGAUUUGAGCAAUAAUAAUAUUGGAUCGAACAUAAAUUAUAACCUUCCUACGACUCUCGAACGGCUAAAUCUUGCCGGGAACUCGUUGAAUGGAUCUAUCCCGUAUUCGAUUUCUCAGAUGACUCCGCUUCAAUACUUGAAUCUUGCUCGAAAUCAGCUAAACGGGAACUUAAAUAUCGACUUUGGACAACUUGCUAAUCUCUCAUUUGUGGAUCUUUCCUCGAAUACUCUUUCAGGCCCCCUCCCAGACAGCAUGAAAUCCUUGUCAAGUUUGACAACCUUGUAUUUGCAAAACAACCAAUUUUCAGGUCCCAUUGACGACCUUGCUAGUCUCCCUCUUCAAGACUUGAAUGUCGCAAACAAUCAAUUCACUGGAUGGAUUCCUGACCAAUUAAAGAAAAUAAAUAGUCUUCAGACUGAUGGCAACCAGUGGAGCUCGG